rnacentral:rRNA from 1 species
GUGCCAGCCGCCGCGGUAAUACGUAGGGGGCAAGCGUUGUCCGGAAUUAUUGGGCGUAAAGGGUGCGUAGGCGGCCUUUUAAAUCAGAUGUGAAAGACCACGGCUUAACCGUGGGGUUGCAUUUGAAACUGGAAGGCUUGAGUAUCGGAGAGGGUAGUGGAAUUCCCAGUGUAGCGGUGAAAUGCGUAGAUAUUGGGAGGAACACCAGUGGCGAAGGCGACUACCUGGACGAAAACUGACGCUGAUGCACGAAAGCUAGGGGAGCAAACAGGAUUAGAUACCCUGGUAGUCCACGCUGUAAACGAUGUCGACUUGGAGGUUGUGCCCUUGAGGCGUGGCUUCCGGAGCUAACGCGUUAAGUCGACCGCCUGGGGAGUACGGCCGCAAGGUUAAAACUCAAAUGAAUUGACGGGGGCCCGCACAAGCGGUGGAGCAUGUGGUUUAAUUCGAUGCAACGCGAAGAACCUUACCUACUCUUGACAUCCAGAGAACUUAGCAGAGAUGCUUUGGUGCCUUCGGGAACUCUGAGACAGGUGCUGCAUGGCUGUCGUCAGCUCGUGUUGUGAAAUGUUGGGUUAAGUCCCGCAACGAGCGCAACCCUUAUCCUUUGUUGCCAGCGCGUGAUGGCGGGAACUCAAAGGAGACUGCCGGUGAUAAACCGGAGGAAGGUGGGGAUGACGUCAAGUCAUCAUGGCCCUUACGAGUAGGGCUACACACGUGCUACAAUGGCGUAUACAAAGGGAAGCGACCCCGCGAGGGCAAGCGGAACUCAUAAAGUACGUCGUAGUCCGGAUUGGAGUCUGCAACUCGACUUCAUGAAGUCGGAAUCGCUAGUAAUCGUAGAUCAGAAUGCUACGGUGAAUACGUUCCCGGGCCUUGUACACACCGCCCGUCACACCAUGGGAGUGGGUUGCAAAAGAAGUAGGUAGCUUAACCUCCGGGAGGGCGCUUACCACUUUGUGAUUCAUGACUGGGGUGAAGUCGUAACAAGGUAACC